ACAAGCGGUGAGUGCUUUGGGGUGGGGUGACUGCGUACCUUUUGUAUAAUGGGUCAGCGACUUAUAUUCUGUAGCAAGGUUAACCGAAUAGGGGAGCCGGAGGGAAACCGAGUCUUAAUUGGGCGUUAAGUUGCAGGGUAUAGACCCGAAACC
rnacentral:rRNA from 1 species